CCUACGGGGGGCUGCAGUGGGGAAUAUUGGACAAUGGGCGAAAGCCUGACCCAGCCAUGCCGCGUGUGUGAAGAAGGCCUUCGGGUUGUAAAGCACUUUCAGUGGGGAAGAAAGCCUUGGGGCUAAUACCCUCGAGGAAGGACAUCACCCACAGAAGAAGCACCGGCUAACUCCGGGCCAGCAGCCGCGGUAAUACGGAGGGUGCGAGCGUUAAUCGGAAUUACUGGGCGUAAAGCGCGCGUAGGCGGUCUGAUAAGCCGGUUGUGAAAGCCCCGGGCUCAACCUGGGAACGGCAUCCGGAACUGUCAGGCUAGAGUGCAGGAGAGGAAGGUAGAAUUCCCGGUGUAGCGGUGAAAUGCGUAGAGAUCGGGAGGAAUACCAGUGGCGAAGGCGGCCUUCUGGACUGACACUGACGCUGAGGUGCGAAAGCGUGGGUAGCAAACAGGAUUAGAUACCCUGGUAGUC
rnacentral:rRNA from 1 species